rnacentral:rRNA from 1 species
GUGGGGAAUUUUGGACAAUGGGCGCAAGCCUGAUCCAGCAAUGCCGCGUGCAGGAAGAAGGCCUUCGGGUUGUAAACUGCUUUUGUACGGAACGAAACGGUCCUGGCUAAUAUCCGGGGCUAAUGACGGUACCGUAAGAAUAAGCACCGGCUAACUACGUGCCAGCAGCCGCGGUAAGACGUAGGGUGCAAGCGUUACUCGGAAUUACUGGGCGUAAAGCGGGCGCAGGCGGUUUUGUAAGACAGGUGUGAAAUCCCCGGGCUCAACCUGGGAACUGCACUUGUGACUGCAAGGCUGGAGUGUGUCAGAGGGAGGUGGAAUUCCGCGUGUAGCAGUGAAAUGCGUAGAGAUGCGGAGGAACACCGAUGGCGAAGGCAAUCCCCUGGACCUGUACUGACGCUCAUGCACGAAAGCGUGGGGAGCAAACAGGAUUAGAAACCCCUGUAGUCC